rnacentral:rRNA from 1 species
AAGACCUUGCGCUUUUGGAGCGGCCGAUGCCUGAUUAGCUUGUUGGUAAGGUAAAAGCUUACCAAGGCUUCGAUCAGUAGCUGGUCUGAGAGGACGGCCAGCCACACUGGGACUGAGACACGGCCCAGACUCCUACGGGAGGCAGCAGUGGGGAAUUUUGGACAAUGGGGGCAACCCUGAUCCAGCCAUGCCGCGUGAGUGAAGAAGGCCUUCGGGUUGUAAAGCUCUUUCAGCCGGAACGAAACGGUUACGGUUAAUACCCGUGACUACUGACGGUACUGGAAGAAGAAGCACCGGCUAACUACGUGCCAGCAGCCGCGGUAAUACGUAGGGUGCGAGCGUUAAUCGGAAUUACUGGGCGUAAAGCGUGCGCAGGUGGUUUUGUAAGUCAGAUGUGAAAGCCCCGGGCUCAACCUGGGAACU